rnacentral:rRNA from 1 species
UCCAGCCUGCCCAGUGACUCAGUUCAACGGCCGCGGUAUCCUGACCGUGCGAAGGUAGCGUAAUCACUUGUUCUUUAAAUAAGGACUAGUAUGAAUGGCAUCACGAGGGUUAAACUGUCUCCCUUUUCUAAUCAGUGAAACUAAUCUCCCCGUGAAGAAGCGGGGAUGAUAAUAUAAGACGAGAAGACCCCAUGGAGCUUUAAACAAACAGCAUAUGCUUACUCUACCUCACUGCAAUUAGUCAAGCAUUUUGUCUGCUAGUUUUUGGUUGGGGCGACCACGGAGAAGAACAAAUCCUCCGCGUUGAAAGAAAAUAUUUCUUAACUAAAAGCCACAUCUUAAAGUAUCAAUAACUUGACAACCCUUGACCCAAUAAUAUUGAUCAACGAACCUAGUUACCCUGGGGAUAACAGCGCAAUCCAUUUCAAGAGCUCCUAUCGACAAAUGGGUUUACGACCUCGAUGUUGGAUCAGGGUAUCCCAGUGGUGCAGCCGCUACUAAUGGUUCGUUGU